UUCAAAACUUAAGACACUCAGUGUGAAAUGUGAAACAGAGUUGCAGACUGUGUGCUCUGCUUAUGGGAGAGGGUGUGUGACACUAAUAAACGUAUUAAUUAUCUCACAUCCAUACUGAUGACCGAGAGAGACAUAUCAGGGCUGCUGAGAAAUGGGCCUCAACAAGAGGGUACUGAACAGGAAAAGGGCGUCACUGGAUAGGCCAGCAUUUAUCACCCACCCUUAGGGCAUUUAAGAAUCAACCACACUGCUGUGGGUCUGGAGUCACAUACAGACCAAACCAGGUUUAGAAGUAAAGAACCAGUGAAGAACCAGUGAUUUCUGAAGAAGGAUCCCGACCCGAAACAUCAACUUUCCUGCUCCUCUGAUGCUGC